rnacentral:pre_miRNA from 1 species
UAUAAGUUUCUGUGUCCAACAUUUGAACGUUUGUCUUAUUUAAAAUUUAUAUAUAAUUAGUAUUUUUGUUGUUAUUAGAAUAUAAAACAUGAAUAUUAUUUAUACAUUUUUAAAUAAAACAAAUGAUUAAACGUUGAACUCAUAAACUCGUAAAUAAAUUUAUU